CCUACGGGUGGCAGCAGUGAGGAAUAUUGGUCAAUGGACGAGAGUCUGAACCAGCCAAGUAGCGUGAAUGAUGACUGCCCUAUGGGUUGUAAACUUCGUUUAUAAAGGAAUAAAACGAGGCACGUGUGCCUUUUUGCAUGUACUUUAUGAAUCCGGACCGGCUAAGUCCGUGCCAGCAGCCGCGGUAAUACGGAGGAUCCGAGCGUUAUCCGGAUUUAUUGGGUUUAAAGGGAACGUAGGUGGGUCGUUAAGUCAGAUGUGAAAGUUUGCGGUUCAACCGUAAAAUUGCAAUUGAUACUGGCAGUCUUGAGUACAGAUGAGGUGGGCGGAAUUCGAGGUGUAGCGGUGAAAUGCUUAGAUAUAACGAAGAACCCCGAUUGCGAAGGCAGCUUACUAAACUGUGACUGACAUUGAUGCUCGAAAGUGUGGGUAUCAAACAGGAUUAGAUACCCCAGUAGUC
rnacentral:rRNA from 1 species